GUAGGGUGCAAGCGUUAAUCGGAAUUACUGGGCGUAAAGCGUGCGCAGGCGGUUCGCUAAGACAGAUGUGAAAUCCCCGGGCUUAACCUGGGAACUGCAUUUGUGACUGGCGGGCUAGAGUAUGGCAGAGGGGGGUAGAAUUCCACGUGUAGCAGUGAAAUGCGUAGAGAUGUGGAGGAAUACCGAUGGCGAAGGCAGCCCCCUGGGCCAAUACUGACGCUCAUGCACGAAAGCGUGGGGAGCAAACAGGAUUAGAUGCCCUGGUAGUCCACGCCCUAAACGAUGUCAACUAGUUGUCGGGUCUUCAUUGACUUGGUAACGUAGCUAACGCGUGAAGUUGACCGCCUGGGGAGUACGGUCGCAAGAUUA
rnacentral:rRNA from 1 species